CCUACGGGAGGCAGCAGUGGGGAAUAUUGCACAAUGGGGGAAACCCUGAUGCAGCGACGCCGCGUGAGUGAAGACGUAAUUCGUUAUGUAAAGCUCUAUCAGCAGGGAAGAAAAGGACGGUACCUGAGUAAUAAGCCCCGGCUAACUACGUGCCAGCGGCCGCGGUAAUAAGUAGGAGGCAAGUGUUAUCCGGAUUUACUGGGUGUAAAGGGAGCGUAGACGGCAGUGUAAGUCUGGGGUGAAAGUCGGGGGCUCAACCGCCGGACUGCUCUGGAAACUGUACGGCUGGAGUGCAGGAGAGGUAAGUGGAAUUCCUAGUGUAGCGGUGAAAUGCGUAGAUAUUAGGAGGAACAC
rnacentral:rRNA from 1 species